rnacentral:rRNA from 1 species
UACGGGGGGGGCAAGCGUUGUUCGGAAUUACUGGGCGUAAAGGGCUCGUAGGCGGCCCACUAAGUCAGAUGUGAAAUCCCUAGGCUCAACCUGGGAACUGCAUCUGAUACUGGUGGGCUUGAAUUCGGGAGAGGGAUGCAGAAUUCCAGGUGUAGCGGUGAAAUGCGUAGAUAUCUGGAGGAAUACCGGUGGCGAAGGCGGCAUCCUGGACCGACAUUGACGCUGAGGAGCGAAAGCUAGGGGAGCAAACGGG